CAGCAGCCGCGGGAAUACGUAGGGUGCAAGCGUUAAUCGGAAUUACUGGGCGUAAAGCGUGCGCAGGCGGUUUGUUAAGACAGAUGUGAAAUCCCCGGGCUCAACCUGGGAACUGCAUUUGUGACUGGCAAGCUAGAGUACGGCAGAGGGGGGUGGAAUUCCGCGUGUAGCAGUGAAAUGCGUAGAUAUGCGGAGGAACACCGAUGGCGAAGGCAGCCCCCUGGGCCAAUACUGACGCUCAUGCACGAAAGCGUGGGGAGCAAACAGGAUUAGAUACCCGUGUAGUCCCUGUCUCUUAUAC
rnacentral:rRNA from 1 species